CCCUUAGAUGUUCUGGGCCGCACGCGCGCUACAAUGAUGAAUUCAACGAGUUUAUAACCUUGGUUGAAAAGCCUGGGUAAUCUUUUGAACUUUCGUCGUGAUGGGGCUAGACCCUUGCAAUUAUUGGUCUCCAACGAGGAAUUCCUAGUAAACGCAAGUCAUCAGCUUGCAUUGAUUACGUCCCUGCCCUUUGUACACACCGCCCGUCGCACCUACCGAUUGAAUGGUCCGGUGAAAUCUUGGGAUUUUGUUUUGUUUGCAUUUAUUUGUAUCGAGACGAGAGAACUUGAGUAAACCUUACCAUUUAGAGGAAGGUGAAGUCGUAACA
rnacentral:rRNA from 1 species